rnacentral:tRNA from 17 species
GCGAGGAUGGCGGAAUUGGCAGACGCACUAGACUUAGGAUCUAGCGCCUUCGGCGUGAGAGUUCAAGUCUCUCUCUUCGCACCA